CUAGUACUUCGCAGUGAUAAAAUAUGUGAUUGGCGAAAUCUGGUGCAGUUUGAUAUUUUGUUCGUACAAGAGUGUCGUUGGGUGUCAAACAAACAUCGGGAGAAACAGAACAUUGUUGUGCAAAAAUUGUCAACGCAGAACCGGAACGCGAUAACGUAUAGUGAAAUUUCGACCGGAACUGUAAAAGUUAUCAAUCGUGAUCACCAAGAGUGGAACUAUUUUGAUAUUGUGCCAAAAAGGUGAUAAACGACGUUUUCUAGUGAGAAUCGUGAGCUGGAUUUAUGCGCCGACAUCGGAGAGUCCGAACUUGCACACGGUGGAAACACAGCAAAGAACUACACGGCCAACAGCAGCAGUAGGCGACGACGACCUUGACGAGAAAAUGUACCUGUACUUGGCUUGCUGUGAUCAGAGAAAAUUUUGCAAGAGCCAUUGUCGGAAAUUUCGCGCAAAUUUCGUCCGCAGUCCGCUGAAAUGUGGUGUUUUUCAAAAAGUUUUUCCGUUCUAAUGCAUCAGAUUCGUUAAACGAAACAAAAAAUCAUGCUCAUUAUUCAUACCAUUACUUGUGAUACUCGUAGUUGCUGGAUUAUGCACCGCUGUCUUGGAUGAUGAAAAAUUAUAUGCGUUGCUAGUUGUGCCAGAAAUGUCAUUAACCGUGUUCAUAAUGUAAAUAUUAUUUGUUGAAUCAUUCGUUAUUAGAGCAUUAAAAGUGGAAAAAGUUCACAAAAAAUAGUGUGUGAUAGUGAAAAGAGAAAAUAAUAAGUGUUGAAAACGGUUUUGUACACGUCGACUGAGCUCUAUAUACCUACAUAUUACAAAAAAAAUAAGCAACAACAUAAAAGUUAAAAAGCAACAAACAGUGAAUUUUCUGAGCUAGUUUUGCUUGUAAAAUGAAAAAAUUCACUUUCAAAGGAGUUUUAGAUGGUUUUCGAAGUUCUACAGUGAAUCAGCCCUCUUCUCUUGGACCAACAAGGAUCUGCACGGAGCAAGAAAUACAAGAAACAUUACGACCAGAA